AUACAUGCAAGUCGAGCGGACAGAUGGGAGCUUGCUCCCUGAUGUUAGCGGCGGACGGGUGAGUAACACGUGGGUAACCUGCCUGUAAGACUGGGAUAACUCCGGGAAACCGGGGCUAAUACCGGAUGCUUGUUUGAACCGCAUGGUUCAAACAUAAAAGGUGGCUUCGGCUACCACUUACAGAUGGACCCGCGGCGCAUUAGCUAGUUGGUGAGGUAACGGCUCACCAAGGCAACGAUGCGUAGCCGACCUGAGAGGGUGAUCGGCCACACUGGGACUGAGACACGGCCCAGACUCCUACGGGAGGCAGCAGUAGGGAAUCUUCCGCAAUGGACGAAAGUCUGACGGAGCAACGCCGCGUGAGUGAUGAAGGUUUUCGGAUCGUAAAGCUCUGUUGUUAGGGAAGAACAAGUACCGUUCGAAUAGGGCGGUACCUUGACGGUACCUAACCAGAAAGCCACGGCUAACUACGUGCCAGCAGCCGCGGUAAUACGUAGGUGGCAAGCGUUGUCCGGAAUUAUUGGGCGUAAAGGGCUCGCAGGCGGUUCCUUAAGUCUGAUGUGAAAGCCCCCGGCUCAACCGGGGAGGGUCAUUGGAAACUGGGGAACUUGAGUGCAGAAGAGGAGAGUGGAAUUCCACGUGUAGCGGUGAAAUGCGUACAGAUGUNNAGGAACACCCCCGGCGAAGGCGACUCUCUGGUCUGCAACUGACACUCACUAGCGAAAGCGCGGGGAGCG
rnacentral:rRNA from 1 species